UACGUAGGUGGCAAGCGUUGUCCGGAUUUAUUGGGUUUAAAGGGUGCGUAGGCGGUCCUAUAAGUCAGUUGUGAAAUACGGCAGCUUAACUGUCGAGGUGCAAUUGAUACUGCAGGACUUGAGUACAGACGAGGUAGGCGGAAUUGACGGUGUAGCGGUGAAAUGCUUAGAUAUCGUCAAGAACACCGAUGGCGAAGGCAGGUCUCUGGGCAUUAACUGACGCUGAGGAGCGAAAGCAUGGGGAGCGAACAGG
rnacentral:rRNA from 1 species